CCUACGGGAGGCAGCAGUGGGGAAUAUUGCACAAUGGGGGAAACCCUGAUGCAGCGACGCCGCGUGAGUGAAGAAGUAUUUCGGUAUGUAAAGCUCUAUCAGCAGGGAAGAAAAUGACGGUACCUGAUCAAGAAGCCCCGGCUAACUACGUGCCAGCAGCCGCGGUAAUACGUCGGGGGCAAGCGUUAUCCGGAUUUACUGGGUGUAAAGGGAGCGUAGACGGCAGCACAAGUCAGGAGUGAAAUGCCGGGGCUUAACCCCGGAACUGCUUUGGAAACUGUGCAGCUAGAGUGCAUGAGAGGUAAGUGGAAUUCCAAGUGUAGCGGUGAAAUGCGUAGAUAUUAGGAGGAACACCAGUGGCGAAGGCGGCUUACUGGACUGUAACUAACGUUGAGGCGCGAAAGCGUGGGGAGCAAACAGGAUUAGAUACCCCAGUAGUC
rnacentral:rRNA from 1 species